rnacentral:lncRNA from 1 species
AGGCAUGCGAGUGGCGGCUGGUCAGAGGCGUGCAUGCGCGAGGGGAGGUGAAGCGGCGGCAGCUACAAAGCAUGAGGCUAGGGUUUUUUUUGUUUGGCUGAAAACUAGUAUAGUUUUGGGCCAUUCGGGCCUCUAGGGUUUUUAUCAUUAUUGGGCAUUUGGAUUGGGUCUGUUUUUGGGUUAAUUUUGUUGUAAUGGUUUGUUAAUUCUUUAUUGGUCUUGGUCUAUUUGGGUUUUAUGGUCAGGGCCCGGGCAAAAUUUGGGUCUUACAGCUGCCCUUCUUUGCUCAUUUUCGUGUAACGAGAAUAGAGCAAAGACUAAGAAAGAUCAAUUUUGCCCGGUCUCACCGAGUCUUAACUCAUUGGGUGCCGCUCUUCUUCAAGUAGCUUUAUUCUAUUCUGUUGUGACUUUAGGGGAUGGGAUUUGCGGUUUUAAUCCGCUACACUGCAACUUCAGGGAGAUAGGAUUGGUUUCUUUCGUCUACUCCACUACUGCUUAGGGAGAUAAGACUGGAUGUGAUCUGCUCCAUUACUGCUUAGGGAGAUAAGAUCUGUGGUUUUAAUCCGCUCCACUGCAACUUCAGGGAGAUAGGAUUGGUUUCUUUCGUCUGCUCCACUACUUCUUAGGGAGAUAAGACUGGAUGUGAUCUGCUCCAUUACUGCUUAGGGAGAUAAGAUCUGGUUUCUUUCGUCUGCUCCACUACUGCUUAGGGAGAUAAGACUUGAUGUGAUCUGCUCCACUACUACUUAGGGAGAUAAGAUCUGGUUUCUUUCGUCUGCUCCACUACUGCUUAGGGAGAUAAGACUUCAUGUGAUCUGCUCCACUACUGCUUAGGGAGAUAAGAUCUGGUUUCUUUCGUCUGCUCUACUACUGCUUAAGGAGAUAAGACUUGAUGCGAUCUGCUCCACUACUGCUUAAGGAGAUAAGAUCUGGUUUCUUUCGUCUGCUCCACUACUGCUUAGGGAGAUAAGACUUGAUGUGAUCUGCUCCACUACUGCUUAGGGAGAUAAGAUCUGGUUUCUUUUGUCUGCUCCACUACUGCUUAGGGAGAUAAGACCUGAUGUGAUCUGCUCCACUACUACUCAGGGAGAUAAGAUCUGGUUUCUUUUGUCUGCUCCACUACUACUUAGAGAGAUAAGACUUGAUGUGAUCUGCUCCACUACUGCUUAGAGAGAUAAGAUCUGGUUUCUUUUGUCUGCUCCACUACUGCUUAGGGAGAUAAGACUUGAUGUGAUCUGCUCCACUACUGGCUAGGGAGAUAAGAUCUGGUUUCUUUUGUCUGCUCCACUACUACUUAGGGAGAUAAGACUGUUGGCUUCAAUGUACUCCAUUAUAAUCUCCGGGAAGUAAAAUCCGCCAUCUUUAAUCUGCUAUCUACUUCGCUGUCAAUACAGGAAGGUAAGAUCUGCUAUCUUUAGUCUGCUCCACUGUCAGUACAGGAAGGCAAGACUGGCUUCUUCGAUCUACUUCGUCGUUAGUACAGGAAGGCAAGAUCUGCAAUCUCUGACCUGCUCCACUACAACCGAGGGAGGCAAGACUUGUGUCUUUGAUCUGCUUCGCUGUCAAUACAGGAAGGCAAGAUCUAUUGUCUUCAACCAGCUCCACCACAACCGAGAGAGGCAAGGUUUGUGUCUUCGACCUACUUCACUGUCAAUACAGGAAGGCAAGAUCUGCUGUCUUCAACCAGCUCCGCUACAACCGAGAGAGGCAAGGUUUGUGUCUUCGACCUGCUUCGCUGUCAAUGCAGGAAGGCAAGAUCUGCUAUCUUUGACCAGCUCCACUGCAACCGAUGGAGGCAAUGUUUUCUAUUUCUUUGAUCUGUUCUUUGUCAAUGUAGGAAGGCAAGAUCUAUUGUCUUCAACCAGCUCUACUACAACCGAGAGAGGCAAUGUUUGUGUCUUUGACCUGCUUCACUGUCAAUGCAGGAAGGCAAGAUCUGUUGUCUUCAACCAGCUCCGCUACAACCGAGAGAGGAAAGGUUUGUGUCUUCGAUCUGCUUCGCUGUCAGGGCAGGAAGGCAAGAUCUGUUGUCUUCAAACAGCUCUGCUACAACCGAGAGAGGUAAGGUUUUGUUUUCGAUCUGCUUCGCUGUUAACGCAGGAAUGCAAGAUCUGCUAUCUUUAACCAGCUCUGCUACAACUGAGAGAGGCAAGGUUUUGUUUUCGAUCCGCUUCGCUAUUAAUGCAGGAAGGCAAGAUCUACUAUCUUUAACCAGCUCCACUACAACCGAUGGAGGCAAGGAUCUGUUUCUUUGAUCUGUUUUCUGGGGAACAUGACCUGUAGAAUCCAUUUUAUGGACCUAUUUAUGCUUAGUGUUUAAGAUGACAUGAUCAGAAUAAAUCAAAUGCUCCUAACUAGAUGUGUAUGAAUGAUAUUUGCAUGAAUGUAGAAUGUCAUGAGAAUGAUCCCUUUUUAAUGUUUGGGUUGUCGUUGCUCGUUGUUCAUCAAGGUUCUAUCACUGAUGUUUUCCCGUUUAGCAAGUAUCUUUGACAGAAUAUUCAAAGAAAUAGUCUCAAUUUAGACUAUCCUUUCUCAAAUGUUUCCAACCCUUAGGUUUGGUUAGUUCUAAAUAAUAGUCCUGUUUCAGGUCCUCGUAUUAUUUAGAAACUUUCAGAGUAAUAUGCAGAACUCCUUCUGCAUGAGUAUUGUUAGUCCAUUAAUCGUUAUUUCAAUGAAAAAUGCUUGAAAAAAAUUAUCAAAAUGGACAAAAUGAAAUUUUGUUGAGAGCAAAGCUCUAAACAAACAAAUCAAUCAAGACAGCAAAUUUUGCUGAGAUAUGAGAUGUAUAAGAUGAAAAAGAUUAUCACAAUGGAUAAGAUGGAAAUUUGUUGAGAGCAAAGCUCUAAAUGAAUAAAUUAAUCAAUAUAGCAAAUUUUGCUAGAAUAUAAAAUGAGAAUAAAUUAAUCAAGAUGGCAUAUUUUGUCAAAAAUACAAAAAUGAAUAAAAUGGAAAUAGGUGCCCCAGAUAUCAUAGCAUGAGCUUCUCUACCCCAAACUUCUUGAAGACCCUUUUGAACUUGAUAUGUGUCUAGAAGUCCUAGAAGACUUUGUUGAUGCCCCAAGAUGUAGCAUCUCUUAUUCUUAUUAAUUCGGAAAGGACAAGAUUACCGCAUGCCCCACCUUUGAUCAAAAUUUGAACUGCCCAUUCCUGGGUUUUCAAUUCAAAACUCUUUGGUCUCAAGGCGCCCUUUGCGGGUUUUCACCUUGGCCUCUCCUUUUUCUUUUUUCAUUCUUCCUUUUUUUCUUUUCUUUUUCGUUUUUUUUCUUUUCGUUUUUUCUCUUCUUUUUUUUCAAGUGAAGUAUUUGUUCCUUGAAUCAAAAUUCUCAAGAUUAGGCAAGUUAUUGUCAUCUAUCUUAGUCAAUAUCGACGCUCUCCCAGAUAAAGCCUUCCACAUAAGGUUCUUCAGGCUUGGCAUCCACUUUUUUCUAAAGUCUCCUUUGUAUAGGAAGGAUCUUCUUCGAUAUCAGGUCCCCCUCAUGGAAUUCUCGAGGGCGAGCCUUUUUUGGUGAACUCGCAUAAUUCGCUUUUGGUACACUUGACCAUGACGGAUAACUUUCAACCUUUUCUCUUCAAUCAACUUUAACUGAUCAUAACAGGUUUUGAUCAAUUAUGCUUCAUCCAACUUCAGCUUUGACAAGACUUGAAGGGAAGGAAUAUCAACUUCGAUGGGUAAAACUGCUUCUAUUACAUAUACCAAUAAGAAACGAGUUGCCCCGAUAGAGGUUCUUUUAUUUUUUAUUUUCUCAUUUUUUACUUUUAUUUUUUUUACUUUUUUCGCCUUUUUUUUAUGCUUUUGUUUUUGUUUUUUUUUUGCCUCCACUGAACCGUUCAUUUUGGGGCGACAUGGUGUUAAUCUUGAACAGACUGUAAACUUCUGAUGUCGUGCGGUUGUUCAAAUUCAAUACAUGGUCUAAUAUGAUCCCCUUUUGGCAUUCCAUAUUGACAUAUGAUUUUUCAAGAAUUUACUGACUGUCAGCUUUGUGAUAUUAGCAUAUGAAGUAGCUUCCACCCACCUAGUGAAGUAAUCGAUGGCCACAAAGAUAAAUCGAUGACCGCUAGAAGCUUUUGGCAAGGUUGUCCCAAUGACAUCCAUGCCCCUCAUAGAGAAAGUCCAUGAAAAAUUCAUAACAUGAAGAGAUAAAGGAAUCACAUAAAUCUUGUCUUCGUAAAUUUGACACUUGUGGCGUUUCUUGGUAUAACUGAUGCAAUCCCCUUCCAUGGUGGACCAGCAGCACCCAAAUCUCAUGAUUUGCUUGGCCAUUGCAAAACUAUUAGCACGUGUUCCUCAGACACCCGUAUGGACCUCGUCUAAGAUCUUCUUAACCUCAAGAGCGUCCACACGUCUUAGUAGCUUAGGCAUAUUUGAAAACAUCUUUGAAUUCUUAGAGUAACUCAAUGAUGUCUCGCUUUGUCUCUGCGGUGAUACAGGCUCUAACCUUCACCUUUUUCUCUUCUCCUAAGCUCACAAUUCCCCACUGAAUUUUUUUUGUAAGGUUAGAUCUAUUUUUCGACUUGCCUUACCAUCUUUAACAAAUCAGGAGAUAAACUAUAGUCUCGGUCAUCUCCAAAGUCCUGAGGUUCCUCUUAGACACAUAUCUUGCUCAAAAGAGAGUUCUGAGUCAAUAGCAGUGUUGCUCAUAUCAUUGAUAUCUGGAGACCUGUUCUAGGGACGAAGGAAGGCUUAAAGAGCUAAUGAAUCAAAGGGUAACUAUCUGUGUGGUAUGAGUAUGAAUGAACUGGAAGGAACAAAAGAAUAUUUGCCAAAACAAGACACAAAGAUGCAUUUCGUUGAAAUAAAGAAUAGUGGACAUGUGCCUUUUCAAAAAAGGAUUUUCUAUUGCUCCCAAGCUUGGAAUAAUAAGAGCGUUCCAAAUAUUACUAUGAAAUGGUCCUAAAAAAUUACAAGAAUCUCCUCCACAGUCCAAUUGUUUAGAACGCCUCUAGGGAUGUAGAAACAAAUUCAUGAUAGGUUUUUUCAUUUUUUAGUUCUUCUUCAAAGGCACAAACAUCUUCACCUUUCGAACCAUCGAUAUAUUCAAAGAAUUCCAAUCCAUCUGGUUCUGUACUAGAGUUCUAAACUCAACGUACUUUUUAGAUUUUAGGAAAUUAAUUGUAUGCAAUGAAGUGUAAUGUUGAUGCAUGAAUGCGUAUUUUUGGAUUUUAGGAAAUUUAUUGUAUGCAAUGAAAUGUAAUGUUAAUGCAUGGAAAAGAAAUGCAUGCAACGAAAUGUAAUGCAGAUGUAUGAAUCCAAAAAAAAGGUGUUGAUCUUGAUUCAAUUCCAUUAGAACAACUUUACUAAGAAACAAAUCUCUUUACAUAAAGCGGAUAUAUUCGGCUUUGCCCUCAUAUGCGGAGACAUUCGAUCCUCUUCUUCAUUCGAGCGUUAAGAUAAAUUUCAUGAACUCUCCAGAAGGGACGUCUCUUCUAUUUCCUCUGGGCUGCGACUUGUUGCACACUCAUCCUUGUAAUGCUCGUUGGCUUUUUCUUUAAGAAAGUUUUGUGGCUCUCGAAUAAUCUUUGUCAUCUUGAAUCCUCGGGCAACAAAGCAAUAGUCGUGUAGUCCUCUAUUAAACUAUCAUCCUUCUCUUAUCACGUUUUCUUAGACCAUAUUCGGACAACCGUAAUAUUAUCCACUUUAUCAAGAAACCCAUUUCCUCAUGACAAGCUCUCUAUUUAACAACCGAACGUGAAUCAACACAUCUUUUUAUGAUGAAAAUGCAAUGUAAUCAUAACCAAAAAGAAAAGAAAAUAGGUUAGUACGAAGCAACAGCAAGCAGGAAUAAAUAGAACACAUGUUCGGGUGACCACUAGGGGUUUGAGGUGGCCCUGCCUAGGGUAGGCUCCUAAAGCUCAUUAUAUGUGGUUUGGUUCUAAAGCAAGGGUACCCGAACCAGCAGAUUCCUCGAUCCUCACCCAGUAUAGGCUCAUACGGACUGAGUUCGGUUCAGGGGAAUACAUUUCCCUAUGGCUGCAUGGAGAUGAAAAUCUCACGAAGACAUAGGUACAGAUGUAUCCCGAAAGUGUUUCACUAUCCCAUGCGGAGGUGAAAACCUCACGAAGACGUAGUUUCUCACUCCCACUUAGAAGGGUGUGACCCACGGUCAUGCAAUGCAAUGCAGCAGUAUACCAAGCUUAAACUACCACAGCUUAAACUACCAAAAUCAAGACGAAUGAAAUGCAAUGAAAGGAUCGUAAAUUUAAAUCAAAUCUUUAAUUUUCGACGAAAAGACAAAAAGUAAUCAACUCGUGGCUUGACUCUCGUGGUUAAUCCCCAGUGGAGUCGCCAAGCUGUUGACACUAUUUUUUUUGCUAAAACGGGGUCGACUUGGAUUUUGAAAACGAAAAUUAAAAUGGGAGUCGUCACAAAUCUUUUUUGAUAAGGUGUGAUCGGAUCACCUUGAAAAAAAUGUUGUUUUCAAUAAACGAUUUGAUUUUAUUAAAACAACGAUUUUGGUCCACGAAAUUCAGAAAAACGGGUUCGGGAGUCAGUUACGCACGAGGAAGGAUUAACACCCUCGAUACGCCCAAAAUUGGUACCUAGUUGAUUAAUUAAUAUCUCAGUGUCGAAGAUUAAAAACUCAAAAAGAAUACAAUCCCUCUUUAUUGUGUUAUUUUAAAAUUACUCGAAUAAAUAAAAAUAGAAAAUGCUUCCUUAUCUCGAAGUAACAAGAUGUCACAUCCAGUAAGUUAGGACACGACACCUCGUAUUUUUGAGAGUAAGCUUGCAUUUAAUUUUUUAUUUAAACCUCAUUUAUUUUAAUUUUAAAAGGAUAUUCGGUUAUUUAGGUCAACGAGAAAAAUCGAAGCCCAGUAAGUUAGGGCACGAUUUCUCGAAUUUUCUAAAUAUAGAAUAUUGCCUUUAUUUUUGAAAUUUUAUACGUUUGGAAAUUUAAAAGGAUAUUUUGCUAUUCAGGUUUAACGAGAAAAUCGAGACCCAGUAAGUUAGGGUACGAUUCUUCGAAUUUCCUAAAAUGCGAGAUAUUGCCUUAUUUUAAAAUUUUCUUUUUGAAUAAUGACAAGUGCAACACUUGUAUGAGGUGAACUUGUUUUGUGAUAAAAUAAAACGGUUUAUUAUAGGUAUAUAAAAAUACAUUAAGCGCCAUUUUAGAAAUGAUGGAAUGAUAGAAUGCUUAUAGAGAACAUAGAAUGACAAUAAAAUGUUACAACAAUGAAUGACAAAUAUGCAAAAACAAAAGAGCACACGUUGACAAAAAACGCAUAAUGUAUAUCAUUUUAACACUAACAUUAAUAAUCGAAGUAAACAAAACACAAUAUCAUGCAAAUCAAUUCAAAGUAAAUAAUGAUUUAAAAUAAAUAAUUUACAACAACAAUUUAAAAAAUAAAUAAUAAAAGGGCUUCAUAUAAACAGAAUAUAAAAACUUAAAAAUGAAUAAUAAUAGUUCAAAACAAAUAAAUAAAAGACAUACAACAUUUAAAAAUAUAUAUAUACAUGCAUAUAAGAGUUUAAAAGAUUAUAUACAUAUAAUGGUUUAAAAUGAAUAACCUAUUAAGAGAAUUAAAUAAAGAGCAUGUAAACAGUUUACCAUAAAUGAUAAAUAAUAACAAAAAUAAUAAAAGAUUUUUUGAAUAUAAAAAAAUAAAUUAAAUGGACCAAGGAUGAUACUGAAAUCGAAUCAGAACUUGGGGUUUUAAUUGCAAAAACCAUAAACAGGACACAAGGGAUUAAAAAAGGCGCGCGCGCGAAGAAUGAAGGACUAAUCGGGCAAUAUACCCCAGUCCUAGAGUGCAACGUUUCAGGCAAAGGACCUUACAUGGUCAAAGGACCUGAUUGAAGCAGAAACAAAAUUUGCAGCCCAAAUCUAAAAGAAAUAAAAGGUUGGAUUGCACUUCAAUGCAAGAUGGAGGGACUAAAUGCAUAAAUUACCCAUUAGGGCAAAGCAUGCGCAGAUCUCCCCCUCAAACGGCACCGUUUUAAUGUCUUUAUUACUUAAACAAGAAAAAUAAAAUUUGAAACCCUCAUCUGCAGCCCCUGUUACAAAAAGAAAAAAAAAGGAAUCCUCUUCAGCCCCCUCCCACUAUCCAGCCAUAGGGCCACUGCUUGCGCCACCGGGACCAAAGGCCGACGACGAAGAACAUAGGCUUUUCAGCCCUUGUUUCGCGGCGUACCCGAGAGUCGGGCUUCCAACCCGAGGGACCGAAGGAGCAUUAGACCCACCUUAAGACCCGAUUCCGACGACGGCGAGAAGAUACCCGCCGACGGAGCCACCGGUGAUCCAGGUACGUUCCUUCCCUUCUCUUUUUUGUAUUUAUUUAAUAUGCGAAAAUAAAAUAAAAAAAUCAAACAGAAAAAGGAAAGAAAAAAAUGAAAUUUUGACCUUUGAAAAUCGGUGUUCUGUUUCUUUUUUAUUAUUAAUGUUUUGUCGAAAGCCGAAGAAGCCAAUACAAAGAAAUUGGAAUGGCUUUUUAUAGCUGAGAUUACAACGCUCCAUCUCUAUUGUUUUUGUUUUUUUGCGAUUUGUUUUCUUCUCUCUACUGCGUGUUUAUUGCUUUUUGCAGGUGGUGUCAGACGCGUUGGUGCAGGCGACGACAGAGGCAUGCGAGUGGCGGCUGGUCAGAGGCGUGCAUGCGCGAGGGGAGGUGAAGCGGCGGCAGCUACAAAGCAUGAGGCUAGGGUUUUUUUUGUUUGGCUGAAAACUAGUAUAGUUUUGGGCCAUUCGGGCCUCUAGGGUUUUUAUCAUUAUUGGGCAUUUGGAUUGGGUCUGUUUUUGGGUUAAUUUUGUUGUAAUGGUUUGUUAAUUCUUUAUUGGUCUUGGUCUAUUUGGGUUUUAUGGUCAGGGCCCGGGCAAAAUUUGGGUCUUACAUA